UAGUCAUGGUAGAAGAAAUGUUUGACGAAAACGUAGUCAUAGCAAAUCCUGUUUUGAACGUUGAGGACUUCGAUAAUUCAAAAAAUUCUAGCCUGACAUUGGAAAUUAAUACUUUUGGUGACACUUCAGAAGGGGAGGAAACGCUGUCAUCAGAUGACGAGGAACUUUCGGAGGAAAUGACAACAUGUCAUCGGACGACGAUAGUGAUCUUUG